rnacentral:rRNA from 1 species
AUUGAACGCUGGCGGCAUGCUUUACACAUGCAGGUCGAACGGUAACAGGCCGCAAGGUGCUGACGAGUGGCGAACGGGUGAGUAAUGCAUCGGAACGUGCCCAGUCGUGGGGGAUAACGCAGCGAAAGCUGCGCUAAUACCGCAUACGAUCUAUGGAUGAAAGCGGGGGACCGUAAGGCCUCGCGCGAUUGGAGCGGCCGAUGUCAGAUUAGGUAGUUGGUGGGGUAAAGGCUCACCAAGCCAACGAUCUGUAGCUGGUCUGAGAGGACGACCAGCCACACUGGGACUGAGACACGGCCCAGACUCCUACGGGAGGCAGCAGUGGGGAAUUUUGGACAAUGGGCGCAAGCCUGAUUCAGCAAUGCCGCGUGCAGGAAGAAGGCCUUCGGGUUGUAAACUGCUUUUGUACGGAGCGAAACGGUCCUGGUUAAUACCCGGGGCUAAUGACGGUACCGUAAGAAUAAGCACCGGCUAACUACGUGCCAGCAGCCGCCGCCGUAA